rnacentral:rRNA from 1 species
AUUGAACGCUGGCGGCAUGCUUUACACAUGCAAGUCGAACGGUAACAGGCCGCAAGGUGCUGACGAGUGGCGAACGGGUGAGUAAUGCAUCGGAACGUGCCCAGUCGUGGGGGAUAACGCAGCGAAAGCUGCGCUAAUACCGCAUACGAUCUGUGGAUGAAAGCGGGGGACCGUAAGGCCUCGCGCGAUUGGAGCGGCCGAUGUCAGAUUAGGUAGUUGGUGGGGUAAAGGCUCACCAAGCCAACGAUCUGUAGCUGGUCUGAGAGGACGACCAGCCACACUGGGACUGAGACACGGCCCAGACUCCUACGGGAGACAGCAGUGGGGAAUUUUGGACAAUGGGUGCAAGCCUGAUCCAGCAAUGCCGCGUGCAGGAAGAAGGCCUUCGGGUUGUAAACUGCUUUUGUACGGAACGAAAAGGCUCUGGAUAAUACCUGGGGCUCAUGACGGUACCGUAAGAAUAAGCACCGGCUAACUACGUGCCAGCCGCCGCGGUAAUAC